rnacentral:rRNA from 1 species
AUUGGACGCUGGCGGCAGGCCUAACACAUGCAAGUCGAGCGGAUGAAGGGAGCUUGCUCCUGGAUUCAGCGGCGGACGGGUGAGUAAUGCCUAGGAAUCUGCCUGGUAGUGGGGGAUAACGUCCGGAAACGGGCGCUAAUACCGCAUACGUCCUGAGGGAGAAAGUGGGGGAUCUUCGGACCUCACGCUAUCAGAUGAGCCUAGGUCGGAUUAGCUAGUUGGUGGGGUAAAGGCCUACCAAGGCGACGAUCCGUAACUGGUCUGAGAGGAUGAUCAGUCACACUGGAACUGAGACACGGUCCAGACUCCUACGGGAGGCAGCAGUGGGGAAUAUUGGACAAUGGGCGAAAGCCUGAUCCAGCCAUGCCGCGUGUGUGAAGAAGGUCUUCGGAUUGUAAAGCACUUUAAGUUGGGAGGAAGGGCAGUAAGUCAAUACCUUGCUGUUUUGACGUUACCAACAGAAUAAGCACCGGCUAACUUCGUG